rnacentral:lncRNA from 1 species
UGAGUGAGUACUGCUGAAUCAGGAGAAUCACAGUCUGGUCUCAACAAUGUUUCUUUUAACCAACAACUUAAUCUUUUAAGCCUCACAUUAGCUAAAAGGGCUUUUACAGGCCCUUGGUAAAACCCAGCUGUUACUUUCAGAGAUGCUGUAAGUACCAGAGCAGAGGACAUGGUCUCAGCUCUCAGUUCAGGCAUGUUUCCUUGCAUCAUUCCAGAAUGCUGACUGCUUACUUUUGGGUCAUAAGAGGCAAAUUCAUCCCUAGAAUGAGUCAGUGGAUUUCCACUAGAGCUGACAGCUCCCUGCUCGGGGAUGCUCCCAUACGUUGCAGAAAUCCUCCUGUGGAGACAACAAGGCAGUGGAGCAGCACACACAUGCUCAGAGGAAGUAACAACUUAGAUGCAGUAAUCAAGAAGCAGAUAGAUCCAGAGAAGGGAACAUCGCCAUAGCUCAUAUAAAUUGGAGAAACUGUAAUAGAACCUUAAAGCUAGGAACACUGUUUUUUAUCUGAACUGAAAGGCACUGGCUGUGGUGGUACACAGAGACAUCAAAACAAGAAUAGGAGGUGGAAAUGAGUGGAAAGAGAGCAUUUUGGAUUGAAGUCUCUAAACCCAUCAAAACUGCCAUUGUAAAUCAAACUGACAGUCAAUUACAAGAUGAACUACGCAUUUGAACAAGUCCAGCUUAGAAAGCCCAGCCAUCUCUAAUAUACUUAUGGACCUGCAAAUGCUCUUCAUUUGCAGGACAGAGGGGUGACCACCGCGUGCGAUCAGCUGCUGCUGAGGUGUGGUAUAUAAAAAAAUAGCAGAACUGUAAAGGAACUCAGAGGAAUUUAGUCAAAAUGAUCAGAAAAGCGUUAUCUGCCUCCCAAGGAAUAAACUUGAGUUGGAAUUCUAACAGCGCAAAGCAAAGCACAGGAGAGGAUGUGGUAACCGAGCAUAACAAGAGUGAGGAGGAACAGGCCUGUCCCCAUCUGCUUCUUUGCACCCCGUGGAUUUGCAGGAACACUGUGUCCCUGCCUGGGCUCUGGCUGGAGUAGAACAAGAAGGAAAGAAAGCCACAGUGUCAAAACUUGAAUUACUGCAGUAGCAGCAGAUAGAGGAAUGGCCAUUAGCAUUACCCAUUGUGACACUGUGCUCAAUCCAUCAGUUUGAGUACCUUAUGUUAAGUGGCAGUGGACUUCAGAGAUCAGUAGUGCUUUUUUGUUCUAUUUAAUCUCUCCUGCUUUUCUCAUCAUUCCCAGUCUUGCUCCUAACCCAUUGCUUUCCUGCUAUUCUUUUGUUAAGUCAAUAAGUGAUCUCCUUCAUGGGCCAGAAUAACAUGACAUUUAGUGGGAUAAGUAGUUUCUUUCCUGCAUGAAUUGUGUUUCACCUGGCAUCCACACCCACUCUCUCUUCAAUUAUAUCUUUAAAAGAAACUUAACAAUGUCUUCUGUUACUUGAUUGCUUUGAGGGGUCCCAAUUCUUUAACUGCUCCAGUGCUAGACAGGGACAGCAAAGCAAUGGGCUGUGAAUUGCACCUAGAAGCACAUACACAUUUGUUCCUGCAUACUUCAGUGGUUUCUUCUCCCAGAGAACACAAGGCUGGAAAAUGGAGUGUUUCUUGUGCCUGCACCUCCUUGGCAGCUGCCUGCUGGUCUGUUAAGUAGACCAGACGGAGGUGGGGAUGACUUGUUCGCUGUUACAGGAUCCCACUUAUGCAACAAACCUAGCAACUAUCCAAGGAGAUGAGAGAGUACGUUUUUUGAAGAGAGUGUGUACAGAAGGAAUUCUGGAAAUACUUCUUCCUCUUUUUGACAUCCAAAAAAGAGAGGACGCUGAUAGGCUGGAAUGAGACCAGGUAAUAAAGGGAAG